rnacentral:lncRNA from 1 species
UCAUCAUCGGAGAACUGAUUGUCAAAACGUGUCUGAUAAGAGUAAUCAGAGAUGCAUUUUGCCAAAACACGUCUCUAAUCAGAGUCAUCUGAGAUGCUGAUGAUGCCUUAUCACAGACGCGAAUUUAGAGACGUGGGAUUCUGCGUCUGUGAUGAACUUUGUAACACGUCUGUAAUAAGAUGUUUUGGCAUAGUGAUAGCAUCUUUUAUUUUUCAGAUCGAUGACAUGAGCAUGACCCUUGUU